rnacentral:rRNA from 1 species
UGGGGAAUAUUGGGCAAUGGGGGAAACCCUGACCCAGCAACGCCGCGUGAAGGAUGAAGGCCUUCGGGUUGUAAACUUCUUUGACCGGGGACGAAAACAAUGACGGUACCCGGGGAACAAGCCACGGCUAACUACGUGCCAGCAGCCGCGGUAAUACGUAGGUGGCGAGCGUUGUCCGGAAUUACUGGGUGUAAAGGGCGCGUAGGCGGAUCUGCAAGUCGGAUGUGAAAUUCCCGGGCUCAACCCGGGCGCUGCACCCGAAACUGCGGAUCUGGAGUGCCGGAGAGGAAAGCGGAAUUCCCAGUGUAGCGGUAAAAUGCGUAGAGAUUGGGAGGAACACCAGUGGCGAAGGCGGCUUUCUGGACGGUAACUGACGCUGAGGCGCGAAAGCGUGGGGAGC